GAUGAAGAACGUAGCGAAAUGCGAUAAGUAAUGCGAAUUGAAGAAUCCGUGAGUCAUCGAAUCUUUGAACGCAUAUUGCGCCCUUUGGCAUUCCGAAGGGCAUGCCUGUUCAAGCGUCAUUAUCACCCCUCAAGCCCCGGCUUGGUGUUGGGCCCCCGGUGGUCGUACCCGACCACCCGCCUCAAAGAUAGUGACGGCGUCCCAGAGGGAACCGGUACGAGGAGCUUUCACGAGCAUGUACGCGGGACGACUCUGUGGGCGACGGUCUUUUUUAACCUUAAUAUAUCAAGUGUUGACCUCGGAUCAGGUAGGAAUACCCGCUGAACUUAAGCAUAUCAAUAAGCGGAGGA
rnacentral:misc_RNA from 1 species